AGAGUUUGAUCCUGGCUCAGAACGAACGCUGGCGGCGUGCCUAACACAUGCAAGUCAAACGGGAUUGAGGGGCUUGCUCCUCAAUUUAGUGGCGCACGGGUGAGUAACGUGUAGAUAAUCUGCCUGACGAUCUGGGAUAACACUUCGAAAGGGGUGCUAAUACCGGAUAAGCCCACGGAGACUUUGGUCUUUGCGGGAAA
rnacentral:rRNA from 1 species